AUUGAACGCUGGCGGCAGGCCUAACACAUGCAAGUCGAGCGGAUGAAGGGAGCUUGCUCCUGGAUUCAGCGGCGGACGGGUGAGUAAUGCCUAGGAAUCUGCCUGGUAGUGGGGGAUAACGUCCGGAAACGGGCGCUAAUACCGCAUACGUCCUGAGGAGAAAGUGGGGGAUCUUCGGACCUCACGCCAUCAGAAGAGCCUAGGUCGGAUUAGCUAGUUGGUGGGGUAAAGGCCUACCAAGGCGACGAUCCGUAACUGGUCUGAGAGGAUGAUCAGUCACACUGGAACUGAGACACGGUCCAGACUCCUACGGGAGGCAGCAGUGGGGAAUAUUGGACAAUGGGCGAAAGCCUGAUCCAGCCAUGCCGCGUGUGUGAAGAAGGUCUUCGGAUUGUAAAGCACUUUAAGUUGGGAGGAAGGGCAGUAAGUUAAUACCUUGCUGUUUUGACGCUACCAACAGAAUAAGCACCGGCUAACUUCGUG
rnacentral:rRNA from 1 species